rnacentral:lncRNA from 1 species
GGAAACUGAACUUAGACGAGUUUCUGAACCAAUUGAUCAAGGUGCAGCUUUCAUCUAUCCCUGAAAGUCGUGUUUCCUUAGAAGAAAAGAUUGAUGCCAGUAGUGUGGAUGACAUUUUGAAAAGCAUGGACAUAACACUCACAGACCAGGAGAAGAAGGCUCUUUUUGAACACCUGCCAGUUCCUGGUGAUGAAGGCAUAGAUAUGGAAACAUUGAUCGGUGCUGUGAAG